UUAUAAAUUUACAAAAAAAUUGAAUUUAAUUUUUUUUAAAAAGGCUUCAAUGGAUUUAGUAAAUCAUCUCCUGUUAGCAAUAUUUGCGCUUAUUUCAUUUAAAAAAAUGUUGUCGGCAUCUACAAUUUGCGCUAUGGACAGAACUUGCUGUUUAAACUAUAACUGGAACCCUGUCUUUAAAACGUGCAAAGUCUGUAGAAAUGGUACCUUUGGAAUUGAUUGUUAUAUUCCAUGCUUCAGUUCGACACAUGGUUUGUAAUGUCAUUCCCUUUGUAAAUGCAGUCGACAAGAUUGCCACCAUGCAUUUGGAUGUGUUCACGAGGAUAUUGCAUAUACUUUACCUACAAUCCUACAGGGGAUGGAAAUUAAUAAUCAAGUUUUGCCUAUAGACACUAGACGAUACAAUGAUUCUCUGAAAAAAAGUGAAUUAAACGUAAGGUUUUUACUCCACUUGAUAAAUAUCACAUCCAGCUUUAUUAUUGCUAUUUUGCUGUUUAUCAUAAUAGCACAUGUCGUCUUAUUUGCGGAUCGACGUCGUGAAGUGAACUCUGUUCGUCGCCUUCAGUCAACUAAACCACCACAAAAUCUCUCAACAGAAACUAUAUUUCUUGAAACAAACGUAUA